UCGUAGGUGACCUGCGGAGGGAUCAUUACACAAAUAUGAAGGCGGGCUGGAACCUCUCGGGGUUACAGCCUUGCUGAAUUAUUCACCCUUGUCUUUUGCGUACUUCUUGUUUCCUUGGUGGGUUCGCCCACCACUAGGACAAACAUAAACCUUUUGUAAUUGCAAUCAGCGUCAGUAACAAAUUAAUAAUUACAACUUUCAACAACGGAUCUCUUGGUUCUGGCAUCGAUGAAGAACGCAGCGAAAUGCGAUAAGUAGUGUGAAUUGCAGAAUUCAGUGAAUCAUCGAAUCUUUGAACGCACAUUGCGCCCUUUGGUAUUCCAAAGGGCAUGCCUGUUCGAGCGUCAUUUGUACCCUCAAGCUUUGCUUGGUGUUGGGCGUCUUGUCUCUAGCUUUGCUGGAGACUCGCCUUAAAGUAAUUGGCAGCCGGCCUACUGGUUUCGGAGCGCAGCACAAGUCGCACUCUCUAUCAGCAAAGGUCUAGCAUCCAUUAAGCCUUUUUUUCAACUUUUGACCUCGGAUCAGGUAGGGAUACCCGCUGAACUUAAGCAUAUCAA
rnacentral:rRNA from 1 species